rnacentral:lncRNA from 1 species
GUAUUGAUUUCUUGGUCUCCUUAGAGAGUUUAGGAUAUAGACCAUGCUUCGAUAAACCACGAUAACAAGGAGUAUCCAGUGCAAGCUGUACAUGUAUGCAUAGUGAAAAGCUAUUUAGUCUUAUUUUUAACUCUAGUUCGAAAAAUAAAAGAGAUGGGAAACACACUCACUUGAAGUUGUACGCCGGAAGUAUGUACUUCUUGUAAUGUUGCUUGUAUAAGAAAUUAUAUAUAUUCUUCAAGGUCCGAUUUGGUUUAUCUCUUACAUUUGCCUCGUUUAUAACAUUCGGGUCCAUGAAGCCGACGUCAUACAAUCCUAUCCUCC